UGGGGAAUAUUGGACAAUGGGGGGAACCCUGAUCCAGCCAUGCCGCGUGUGUGAAGAAGGCCUUAUGGUUGUAAAGCACUUUAAGCGAGGAGGAGGCUCUCUUGGUUAAUACCCAAGAUGAGUGGACGUUACUCGCAGAAUAAGCACCGGCUAACUCUGUGCCAGCAGCCGCGGUAAUACAGAGGGUGCGAGCGUUAAUCGGAUUUACUGGGCGUAAAGCGUGCGUAGGCGGCUUUUUAAGUCGGAUGUGAAAUCCCCGAGCUUAACUUGGGAAUUGCAUUCGAUACUGGGAAGCUAGAGUAUGGGAGAGGAUGGUAGAAUUCCAGGUGUAGCGGUGAAAUGCGUAGAGAUCUGGAGGAAUACCGAUGGCGAAGGCAGCCAUCUGGCCUAAUACUGACGCUGAGGUACGAAAGCAUGGGGAGCAAACAGGAUUAGAUACCCCCGUAGUCC
rnacentral:rRNA from 1 species